AUUGAACGCUGGCGGCAGGCCUAACACAUGCAAGUCGAGCGAGCGGUGGACGGGUGAGUAAUGUCUGGGAAACUGCCUGAUGGAGGGGGAUAACUACUGGAAACGGUAGCUAAUACCGCAUACCAUCAGAUGUGCCCAGAUGGGAUUAGCUAGUAGGUGGGGUAACGGCUCACCUAGGCGACGAUCCCUAGCUGGUCUGAGAGGAUGACCAGCCACACGGGAACGGAGACACGGUCCAGACUCCUACGAGAGGCAGCAGUGGGGAAGAUUCCACAAUGGGCGCAAGCCUGAUGCAGCCAUGCCGCGUGUGUGAUGAAGGCCUUCGGGUUGUAAAGCGCUGUCAGCGGGGAGGCGGGACCCGCAGAAGAAGCACCGGCUAACUCCGUGCCAGCAGCCGCGGUAAUAC
rnacentral:rRNA from 1 species